rnacentral:rRNA from 1 species
GAUGAACGCUAGCUACAGGCUUAACACAUGCAAGUCGAGGGGAAACGGCAUCGAAAGCUUGCUUUUGAUGGGCGUCGACCGGCGCACGGGUGAGUAACGCGUAUCCAACCUGCCCAUCACUUGGGAAUAACCUUGCGAAAGUAAGACUAAUGCCCAAUGACAUCCCACGAAGGCAUCCGAAUGGGACUAAAGAUUUAUCGGUGAUGGAUGGGGAUGCGUCUGAUUAGCUUGUUGGCGGGGUGACGGCCCACCAAGGCAACGAUCAGUAGGGGUUCUGAGAGGAAGGGCCCCCACAUUGGAACGGAGACACGGUCCAAACUCCGACGGGAGGCAGCAGUGAGGAAUAUUGGUCAAUGGGCGAGAGCCUGAACCAGCCAAGUAGCGUGCAGGAUGACGGCCCUAUGGGUUGUAAACUGCUUUUAUAAGGGAAUAAAGUGGGUCACGUGUGACUUUUUGCAUGUACCUUAUGAAUAAGGACCGGCUAAUUCCGUG